CCGCCACUUGAUUCUGGAGGAUUUGUUCUGGGGCUGCGGCCGCGGAGUCGGGGCGGCCGCGGGCGAGCUUCGGGGCGGGAGGCGGCGGCAGCGGCACAGCCCCGCGCGGGCCCCGCCGCGGCCCAGGCAGCCGGGACAGCCACGAGGGGCGGCCGCACGCGGGGCCGCGCGCCGAGGAUGCGGGACUAGCCGGGCAGGCUGCGGGCGGCCGUCGGGCCAGCGAGGCCUCGCAGCGGGCGGGCCCUGGCGAGUAGUGGCCGGGCGCCGCCCCCUGCGCCCUGAGGCCCGGGCCCCGCCGCUUCUGCUUUCCCGCUUCUCGCGGCAGCGGCGGCCGAGGAGGCGCCCGCGCCGGCCGCCCCCGGGGGAAGCCGCGCCGUCUCCGCCUGCCCGGCGCCCUGACGGCCGCUGU
rnacentral:lncRNA from 10 species